GCGCCCGUAGCUCAGUUGGCAGAGCAGUGGAACGGAGCCCCACGGUCCCGGGUCAAGCCCCGGCGAUCGCU